GACGAACGCUGGCGGCGUGCUUAACACAUGCAAGUCGAACGGAAAGGCCCUGCUUUUGUGGGGUGCUCGAGUGGCGAACGGGUGAGUAACACGUGAGUAACCUGCCCUUGACUUUGGUAUAACUUCAGGAAACUGGGGCUAAUACCGGAUAGGAGCUCCUGCUGCAUGGUGGGGGUUGGAAAGUUUCGGCGGUUGGGGAUGGACUCGCGGCUUAUCAGCUUGUUGGUGGGGUAGUGGCUUACCAAGGCUUUGACGGGUAGCCGGCCUGAGAGGGUGACCGGCCACAUUGGGACUGAGAUACGGACCAGACUCCUACGGGAGGCAGCAGUGGGGAAUAUUGCACAAUGGGCGGAAGCCUGAUGAAGAAACGCCGCGUGCGGGAUGACGGCCUUCGGGUUGUAAACAGCUUUAGCCUGUGACGAAGCGUGAGUGACGGUAAUGGGUAAAGAAGCACCGGCUAACUACGUG
rnacentral:rRNA from 1 species